rnacentral:lncRNA from 1 species
AAAUAUACUAUUUAUAAGGCAUAGUAAGAUUAAACCUCUUAAUUUGACUAUAGUAUUUUGAGCGGUUGUUAGGCCUAAAAAAAAUUAAGAAAAUUGAACAUGAGUUUAAAACUGAAGUAGUUCUAGAAUGGACGAGCCACCCGAAAGCAAGGAUAUCAUAAUUGGUAUUAAAGCCAAUCACGAGCCGAAAAUAUAAAAUGAGUACUCUCAACUGAGUCAGUGUUAUACAACAAGUAAUUAAGAGCAACGCUCUUAGGCCGACGACGAUUGUGAGUAAAGCGCAGCUACCCAUAAUUACUCAUGAGUGUACUUGAACCUAACGAAAACGUCAGAGAUUAUAUGGAAAAAAUAUAUAUAACACCCUCAAAAUUUGAAAUGGUAUAUAUAU